CUGGACUGAGCUGCAGCGACCCGCAAUGCCGCGCCAUGAGGGACACACGGCUUCCUUCGAGAGCUGCUGCCGUGGGGGGCUGGCUUUGAGGGCGCCUGCCUGCCUUCGGGCCGUGUCCGCGGGACUGUCUGCGUCGGUGGGUAGGUUCCAUAUCACAUCCCCGUGUGCCGCCUUACUUCCUGCUUCGAGAAUGUAUAACGUGGAAAUCCACGGGACCAAGUUUCUGCAGAGGCCUUGCCGGGUGGUUCCAUAACUGUAGAGUCGAAUUAAUCGUUCAGUUGAGAGUACUGGUGACGUUUCAAAGCAAAUGAACCACCGUAGUUUUCACAGAACCAUAUCAUGGAGGUUUGUAGUUAGCGCUUAUUUUUGCGUGUUGAUGUUGACUAGCUAAUAAACUCUAAAUGUAAACCAUGGAA